rnacentral:rRNA from 1 species
AUGAAGAAAAGGAAAGCAUCAAUGACUGCAGAGUCCUCAGCUCCUAAGAAAGUGAGGACUUUGACGAGCUCUUUCAAGAACCCAAUUGAUGUUGUUCCCAUUUCAAUAGUGCCAUCAAAGGAAAUUUUUCCUUUUGGUGAAGAAUAUGUCAUAUCAGAUGACACAGAUGAAGAGAAUCCUUCUGUUUCUUCUUUAGAGCAGUUCGAUGAAGAAAUUGAAGUGGAAGAUAUCCCUUCAACCCCACUGGUAUCAUCUCCCAUGCCUCAGUUCACAGCUGAAGAGGCAGGCGUUGAGGAAAUGGGAGUAGACGAGGAUUUGGACAUUGGUUCUACAACACCAGUUCUGAAUGAUGACUAUUGGGAAAGACUUCAUCCCAAUUCGCUAUUGACCACUCCUCUGCAUCAAAUUCCUCAGUCCCCUGUGCAAACUGAAGAAAUUCAAAUGGGACCCGAAGGACCUCAAACAUCACUUCUUUCCAUUCCUGAAGAAGCUCCACCUGCAACAGCUGAAGAAAUGGAGAAACCAACCACUGCUGAAGAAUCUGAAGCUUCAAUUCCUCAGGUAGCAGCUCCAGAGAUUUUGAGGCAAGAGGUCGUGAAGUCCUCCACUGCUAAUCUACAGCCCAAGCAGCAAAAUCCUUGUGCUAAAAGGCCAAAGUACAAAGCUGAUAAGUUCUUCGCUAAGCACCAUUUCUUCACGGACUUCAAUCCUUAUGACUCAGCAAGAAUUUGA